rnacentral:lncRNA from 1 species
AUUGCAAUAGCCCAGUGCCUCUGUGAAGGCUGUAUUUCACAUCCCAACAACACGGGACAAAUUGCACAAACGCAAGGAAUUAGAUCCCUUGGUAACAAAUAUUGAAGUCACUUUUUAAAAUGUCACCAAAUGGCUCUGUUAACUCUGUUUUGUAACAAGUGAGAGGCAGAUGGCACUUUGAAGUGUAUGAUGCAUCUUGGAAGAGCAAAAUUGCUCAGGCAUUUUUGUCUAGUUUGCUAAGAUGGAGUGACGAUGCCCCAGAUGAAAGGCGCUGCUUGGCAUGCCCUCACACAAAAGGCUGAGUACCACUGAGUAUCACACUGUUCGCUUUUGGCACAAGUGUCUCCCAUAACUGUUUAAUCGACUAAGCCUGAGUCAGUAAACACCCCGAAGUAUCAAAGAAGCACACAGAGAGUGUAAGACAACAGAAGUCAAGACUCUUCUCCAGGGUGGAAAUAGCCUGAAGAUGUCUGCAUGGAUGAGGAAGAGGGCUGUUUACUUUCAGCAUUUGCAAGAACGUUCAACAGCUGGAUGCUUGGAACUUUGCACAGAUGUGGACUUUAGCGCAAAGCCCUUUUUCUCUGGCAGCAAGAAGCACUCACUCCCCUUCCCCCCUCACCUCUGCUUGGCUUCAGUGUAUUUUCCUGAUUUGCUUUUAAAAGCAUACUCUUUAGCUUCAAAGGGUGGCAGAUAGAGGCAGCCUGGAAGGGCAGGGUGUUCAGUGGUGCAGGAGUCUCUGCAGAGUGCCUGACUAUUGGAAGGGGCUUCACAAACAAAGAAAAAAGAA